rnacentral:rRNA from 1 species
GGCGAACGCUGGCGGCGUGCCUAACACAUGCAAGUGGAGCGACGAACCAGGCUUCGGCCUGGGGCAAAGCCGCGAACGGGUGAGUAACACGUGGGUGACCUACCCCGAAGACCGGGAUAACCCGAGGAAACUCGGGCUAAUACCGGAUGUGCUCCGCCUGCUGCGGCAGGCGGUGGAAAGGUAGCUUCGGCUUCCGCUUCGGGAUGGGCCCGCGGCCCAUUAGCUAGUUGGUGAGGUAACGGCUCACCAAGGCGACGAUGGGUAGCUGGUCUGAGAG